rnacentral:rRNA from 1 species
GGUGCUUGACAUGUGCCGGAUCGCCCCGGAAACGGGGUUUCCCUUCGGGGCCGGUUCACAGGUGGUGCAUGGUCGUCGUCAGCUCGUGUCGUGAGAUGUUGGGUUAAGUCCCGCAACGAGCGCAACCCUCGCCGCAUGUUGCCAGCGGGUGAUGCCGGGAACUCAUGUGGGACCGCCGGGGUCAACUCGGAGGAAGGUGGGGAUGACGUCAGAUCAUCAUGCCCCUUACGUCCAGGGCUUCACGCAUGCUACAAUGGCCGGUACAACGCGAUGCGACACGGUGACGUGGGGCGGAUCGCUGAAAACCGGUCUCAGUUCGGAUCGCAGUCUGCAACUCGACUGCGUGAAGGCGGAGUCGCUAGUAAUCGCGGAUCAGCAACGCCGCGGUGAAUGCGUUCCCGGGUUGGAAAAACCCGAAAA